CAUCGCCGCGGGAAUACCGAGGGUGCGAGCGUUAAUCGGAAUUACUGGGCGUAAAGGGCGCGUAGGCGGUUAGGAAGGUGUGAUGUGAAAGCCCUGGGCUUAACCUAGGAAGUGCAUCGCAAACCAACUAGCUGGAGUAUAAGAGAGGGUGGCGGAAUUUCCGGUGUAGCGGUGAAAUGCGUAAAGAUCGGAAGGAACGUCAAUGGCGAAGGCAGCCACCUGGCUUAAUACUGACGCUGAGGCGCGAAAGCGUGGGGAGCGAACAGGAUUAGAUACCCCUGUAGUCCCUGUCUCUUAUACA
rnacentral:rRNA from 1 species